rnacentral:lncRNA from 1 species
AGGAUAACAAAAUUAGCUGUGGUUGGAGGAUUCAUAAAAUAAAUUGGGAGAUGUGGAUUUGAGGAGAAAUUGUCACCGUUGUUGAAGAAUAAGAGAAGAGAUUGAUAUUGGUGGAGAAGAAGAAGAAGAAGAUAAAUGAUGAAGAUGGUGACUAAUGCUUUCUCUUUCUUAUUCACAGGUAGUCACGUGAUCUGCCAAAAGGAUAAAAUAGUCAAGUAAUGUUAAUUUUGCUAUAGUAGAUGUUAGUUUACAUGUAUUAUGGUAGUUUCUUCAUUUUGGCUCGUAUUAGGUAGUUUAAGCUAAUUGUCUCUUUAAACUAUUCUAUAUAAUUUUUGCCUAACACAAUAAUGUCAAUAACUAACCAACCUUAU